CUGGUCAUUCUAAGAGUCAUUUCCUUGUCUUUCAGGGAGAUAAAGAGGCAUAUAUUGUGUGGGCAGAAGAAUCUGUGUUCUUGUCAAUGACAUAGGCCAUAGAGGUCAAUGGCAUUCGGACAAGCCUGCCUGAAAGCCCCUAUAAAUUUUCAAAGCUCUGUUUCAAUGAGCCUCGACCAUCUGCUGUUAAUUGAGAUGUUUGAACACCUCAUGAAAAACAGACUCAUGAAUCUCUGUUUUACAUAUCUGCAGUAUUUCCAAGCACAGUAAGUAACAGUGCGU
rnacentral:lncRNA from 1 species